rnacentral:rRNA from 1 species
UACAGAGGGUGCAAGCGUUAAUCGGAAUUACUGGGCGUAAAGCGUGCGUAGACGGUUGUCUAAGUCGGAUGUGAAAUCCCCGGGCUCAACCUGGGAAUUGCAUUCGAGACUGAACAGCUAGGGUACGGAAGAGGGAAGCGGAAUUUCCGGUGUAGCAGUGAAAUGCGUAGAUAUCGGAAGGAACAUCAGUGGCGAAAGCGGCUUCCUGGUCCAGUACCGACGUUCAGGCACGAAAGCGUGGGGAGCAAACAGG